rnacentral:rRNA from 1 species
CCUACGGGAGGCAGCAGUGGGGAAUAUUGGACAAUGGGGGCAACCCUGAUCCAGCCAUGCCGCGUGUGUGAAGAAGGCCCUCGGGUUGUAAAGCACUUUCAGUGAGGAAGAACGCCUGGUGGUUAAUACCCAUCAGGAAAGACAUCACUCACAGAAGAAGCACCGGCUAACUCCGUGCCAGCAGCCGCGGUAAUACGGAGGGUGCGAGCGUUAAUCGGAAUUACUUGGCGUAAAGCGCGCGUAGGUGGCUUGAUAAGCCGGUUGUGAAAGCCCCGGGCUCAACCUGGGAACGGCAUCCGGAACUGUCAAGCUAGAGUGAAGGAGAGGAAGGUAGAAUUCCCGGUGUAGCGGUGAAAUGCGUAGAGAUCGGGAGGAAUACCAGUGGCGAAGGCGGCCUUCUGGACUGACACUGACACUGAGGUGCGAAAGCGUGGGUAGCAAACAGGAUUAGAUACCCCUUAGUC